GCGGCGGCGGAGCCGGAGGGGCCGGGGGAGCCCCGAGGCCGCGGGUCCCCCCGUGGCCGAGACGGAGCCGGAGGAGAUGGAAGCACCGGGAUGCACCGGCCCAGCGUGGCUGGUGGUCCCCAAGGUGGAGAUGACCCCCGAGGGUGAUGGGGAUGAUGCAGGGGACCCGGAGCUCCACGGCUCAGGGCAGUGGCUGGUGCGGAAGGUGAAGGUGGAGGACGAAGAUGAGGCCGAGGCCUGGGCAGCUGCGGUCGGAACCGAG